CGCUCGCCGCCUCUAAUUGGUACCCGGCCGCCGCUUCAAAGUUCAGAGGCUAUUGCGACUGCAAUGCCCUCGUGGGGAAUGUGCCCCGGAGUGUUUUUGCACGCACACGAACCAGACACGUUUCUGAACAUCAUCAAGGAGCACAAGGGAAGUCCGCUGUAACCUGCUGUGCCUUUGGAAAACCUGGAGAUUGACGGAGCUCAUUUUCGACCUGAAGGCCUCUCACUGUUGUGGGCUCUCCCGUUGCGGAGCACAGGCUCCGGACGCAUAGGCUCAGCGGCCAUGGCUCACGGGCCCAGACGCUCCGCGGCAUGUGGGAUCUUCCCGGACUGGGGCACGAACCCGUGUCCCCUGCAUCAGCAGGCAGAUUCUCAACCACUGUGCCACCAGGGAAGCUCUUUUUUGUUGUUUUAUUAUUAACUUAACUUUACUUAUUCUUUAUUCAGUAUUCCUAAAAUUCUUUCAGAGAGCAUGUCACCAAAUUCUUGAAUAUUCCCUUUUGUGUUCAUACACUUAUUAAAAUUAAUUUUUUUCCAAAUUAAUCCAAUUACAUUCCAUUUCUAGACUUACUACAACAACUUCAUGUACCUAUAAGAUAAUUAUCCUCUCAUUACUUAUCAUACGUACUCAGUGGAGACUGAGUUAGGCCAUGGGAUUAUCACUCCUCAGUCCCUAACUCUCCUGUGACAGUUGCUAUAAUCAAAAUUAUUUCCCAGUGGUACUAGAGAUGCAAUUUUAAGUUUUGGAAGCAUAUUAAAGCCCCAAUAUGAAAAAUAAUGUACUACUAUGCAAUGUGUUCCUAAAAAUAUAAUUCCAGAUUAAAUUCUCAAAUGUCAAUACACAUAUAUAGAAAAUUGACAUCAUUGUUUUGCUUCUUGACUUGUUUUAGGGUCUGUCCAAAAGCCCAGUGCCAAAUCUUUCUCACUUCCAGUUUUUCUUCAUAACCAUGAUCAAAUCAUUUAGGCAAACUGUCAUGUCGCAGUCUCUCCACUUAUAAAUUGCGGAUAAUAACUUGCUAUAUGUCAUAUAUCUACUUGUGAAUUUCAGGGUGUAUUCUUUUUUAAAAUAAAUAACCACCCAAUGUUCCCUUCCAUUAAGUCAAGAUUAAAAAUAGAUUUCAAAAAUCCGAAUACACCUGCAUUUUGAAUUCCUUAGAGUAAGUUAACAUAUGAAAACUGUUAUUGAAAUUCCUGACAGCACGCUUAAUCAUUACAGAUUCAUAUGAUAAGUUUUAUGAAUGACAUUAAGGAAAGGAAAUAUUCUUCCCUUUAAGCUCUUUCCUUAAACUUUCUAAUGUGAUUACUGUAGUAUAUAUCUCAGGGAUUUUAUUCCAGGGGGAUGGGGUAUGCGAACAAUGGAGCAAGAGUCAGGAAAACUAAAAGAAGCAACAAUAAGGCAAAUAAAUUCCCACUUUCCAUUGGAAUAUUCCCUACAAGGGCCAAGAAACUAACAAACACUAACCAUCCCCAUUGGGGAAGAGAAGCAAGAGUUUGCUCUUAAAUUGACUUCAGAGAGAAAUGCCAAAGCAAAUAAAUCAUGGUAAGUGAAAUACUUUGAAAGGUAAAUGGACUUUAAAAAUAUUUGCGUAGGUUAAAUUUUUUAACCGGAAGUAUUCAUUACUGUCAGAUAAGGCCACAUGUCCAUCAGCGUCUCUGGAGAUCUCCUCCUUGCAUAUGAUUCAUUAUUUUUAGACCAAUGCCUAGCUCGUCAGACAUCCCCAACAAAUGUUGCCGAAUGAAAAAAAUAAGCCAAAGUUCAAACACGUUAUCCUUCACCUAAACCAAAAUUGUAUUAAUCUGAGUAAGAAAUAAGUAAAGGCCCCAAAGUUCUUAGAUUUCUUCAAUCUUUACACAUUUUUUCAUCAAUAAGAAUUCUGGAAUGACGCGCAAACUUGAAUGUCUAUUCCACCCAGCUAAAUCAAGCCAUUAACAGAAUCAAAUGCAAACUUCUGUUUCCUAGGAUCCCUUGCCCCUAGCCAAGUUCAUCCUCAAAGACCUUGUUUCACUUUGUGCUGUCCUUGUGGAGUGACUUGCAACCCUCAAGCCAUGUAGAAAGAAUUUUGAGAGAAGAAUGGCACUUUUACAGGUUACGCGGUCUCCAGAGCAGCUCCAUUCUUUUUCUUUUUCCUUUACGGGAAUCUUUUGUAAUUGAAGUAAAAAGACUUCAGUCAUGUCUCUGAUGGAGGGUGAGAGGAGUCAUAUUUACAGGACAACCCUAAGAGAGAGGAAUUAUUAUUACCAUUCUGAUUUCAUCAACGAAGACACAGAAGCCUAGAGAAUUUAAGUAACUUGCCCCAAGUUAUUCAGUGAAUAAUGCCCGGGCGGGAGCUCAACACCAGGUGCAGUGUUUCCACUUCUGUACUUCACCACCCGGCCUCCCUGCCUUUUCCCUUCCUUGAAAGCUUGGAAGAGCGCCCCAGGACCAACCACAGACAGCCUGAGGAGAACAACAAGCAGGGAGUCUGUGGGAGAUGGGGACAAGUUGCCUGCAGCUCCGGCCCAGCUGGGAUGAGAUUCUCCUUGCCCACUCCUUAGGGCCCCUUCUCUCUUGUCUCAGGCCAUCUCCACUAACUGCUCUGCUCUGCAUAUGCUCUCUGCUGAAAGACAAGAUUACAGAUAUCAUCAAUACAGAUGUCACUACAAGAAAACUUCGAGUGGAUCCCAGAUUAUAACCGAGAAAACUGGAACAAACAGAGAACUGGCUGCAGAUAAUGCUCUUUGCACCAUAUCCAGGGAGCUUCCAAGGGCACUUAGGAGCAUGUGAUGCUCCUACAAGGAGCUCGUGAAAUUUCAGAGUUGCAAGGUUUGUACGUUCCCGUCUUAAACAUUAAGACAAAUUUUCCCCACCUAAUUUGCUUUUUUCGUACUGGACUUCUUAAAGUUGAAAUAAAGAAAGGUUAGAAAACACAUUUGUAAAUGAUAUUCAAAACCACUGAAUGAGAAGUUUCGUUCCUUUCUUCUUUGAAUUCACCUAGCCUUGAAGAACAGACCUUUUUUUCCUGAGUAUGUUAACAGUCAUUGAAGUGACUAAAGUACCCAGUAUAUCUUAGUGAAAAGCUAUUUUUAAAAUCACUUGAUUUAGAAAACUCCAAUCAUGAUAAUUUCAUGGGAAUUCUCAGUACACAAAUUAAAAGUUUUAAAUUACUC